GUGAGGAAUAUUGGACAAUGGGCGCAAGCCUGAUCCAGCCAUGCCGCGUGCAGGAAGACGCAUCUAUGGUGUGUAAACUGCUUUUGUACGGGAAGAAACACUCCCUCGUGAGGGAGCUUGACGGUACCGUAAGAAUAAGGAUCGGCUAACUCCGUUCCAGCAGCCGCGGUAAUACGGAGGAACCAAGCUUUAUCCGGAAACAUUGGGUUUAAAGUGUCCGUAGGCGGUUUGAUAAGUCAGAGGUGAAAGCCCAUAGCUCAACGAUGGAACGGCCAUUGAUACUGUUAGACUUGAAUUACAAGGAAGUAACUAGAAUAUGUGGUGUAGCGGUGAAAUGCAUAGAUAUUAGGAGGAACACCAGUGGCGAAGGCGGCUUUCUGGACUGUAACUGACACUGAGGUACGAAGGCGUGGGGAGCAAACAGGAUUAGAUACCCCUGUAGUCC
rnacentral:rRNA from 1 species